UUAUGGCCUUGUUGAGUAAGAGGACAGUGACUGGGAUCAUACCAAGAGAGGAAACUACUUUUCAGAGGUCAAGCUAUAAAUAUAGAGCCUGAAGAACCGGAGGAAGAAGCUCCUGAGCAUGAACCAAAGUCCUGGACCUUGUGAAGAAAACAUUUCCCGGGAAAAGAGCGUCUGCCGAUACGACCUCGCAGAGAAGUUUCUGCUGAUCCUGAUUGAACCAUGUCACCGUGAGAACAUUGAGAACACUUAUUUAGUGUCUUUAGUUACUUCAUGCCUUCAUACAAUAUUGUUUAUGUUCAUAAUUGUGAAA